CUUUCUUUUGAAUUGAAAAAAAAUACUCAAAAGUGUUUAACAUUUUUCAUUGGUUCAGCUUGUGUGUGGUGUGUGUUUUAUGACGGUUGGAAAGGACUUACUUCAAAAAGAGGAUUCUAAUCUCAGUGGGAUAUUUUGAAACUUGUUUCCCGUGAAUUGAAAUUCCAACUUGAAUACACACGAGGAACUAUGUUGAAGUGAGCUGUGACGCUUGAUGCAGCAUCCUCUGACAUCUUGUGGCCAAAGAACUACGUUGAAGUGAGUUACGGAAGUCCAUGUGGUGCUUUGGCGCAAUCUUAUGGAAACAGGAACUACGUUGAAGUGAGUUGCUUUUGUUUAUGUCAGGGGUGUCCAAACUUUUUGCCAAGGGGGCCAGAUUUUAUGUGGUAAAAUGUCGGGGGGCCGACCUUGGCUGACAUUCUUUACAUUGAACAACAAUAUUGUUCAACAAAUUUUAGUAAGCCAGUCUGUUUCACAUUUCCAUUUUUAUUUUAAUUUCAACAAUCUUAAGAAUUUCUUUUGGUUCAUUUGAAACAGGUAUAUCACAUGCAACUGCUUAUUCACUUGACUUUUUCUUAAACAGAAGUCUCCUGAGUGCAAAUUGAUUGAUUUGAAACAUAAAAUGUAUCACCAUGACUUUUCAAUAGUCACAAAACCUUUGACUCGAAUAACGGGGAAAUGAACAAGCAAUACACAUAUCCACAACUGCAAGGAUCAUUUGAAAUAUGACAUAUCAGUCAAUAUAAACACGGAGUGAUGUCUUGUUAACUCGUGAGUGAUGCCCUCUAGUGUCUAAAUGCUAUUACUCAUUUAGCCACUAGAGGGAAGCAGUACUCUAUGAAACAUCACUCACCAGUCUACGAGACCUCAGUCAAUGCAACACGUGUUCCAUUGCGCCCAACCUGCGGGCCAGACGGCACUGAUUUUAUGACAGGGGCCGAGGGCCGGAUGAAAUUCGACCGCGGGCCGGAUUUGGCCCGCGGGCCGGACUUUGGACAUGCCUGGUUUAUGUGUACCUGUUACAGCAAGAGAACAUGACCAUGCUGUACAAAGUACGAGACACACUGGAGGUUGUAACUAUUAAACAUACGGGCAGCACCGCAGCCCUACUGUGCUCCUACUUUUAUAUUCGUACCAAUGCAAGCUGUGGUGUCCAACCAAGAUGACAUAAUGCUGGUAUAUCCAGAUGUGGAGGCAGCACAGUGACCUGCAGACUGCAAAGUGUAUCAAGCAAAGCUGUUUUUUUGCGGCCACAACUGGAUGGAGGAGAAUAAAGAAGAAGUCACAAUUUCGGGAACCGAAUCCACACGCACUUGAG